UACAGAGGGUGCAAGCGUUAAUCGGAUUUACUGGGCGUAAAGGGUGCGUAGGUGGUCGCAUAAGUCGGAUGUGAAAUCCCCGGGCUCAACCUGGGAACUGCAUUCGAUACUGUGAGACUCGAGUUCGGUAGAGGGCGGUGGAAUUUCCGGUGUAGCGGUGAAAUGCGUAGAUAUCGGAAGGAACAUCAAUGGCGAAGGCAGCCGCCUGGGCCUGAACUGACACUGAGGCACGAAAGCGUGGGUAGCAAACAGG
rnacentral:rRNA from 1 species